UACGUAGGGUGCGAGCGUUAAUCGGAAUUACUGGGCGUAAAGCGUGCGCAGGCGGUUCGUUGUGUCGGCGGUGAAAGCCCCGGGCUCAACCUGGGAAUGGCCGUUGAAACUGGCGAACUGGAGUGUGGCAGAGGGGGGUGGAAUUCCGCGUGUAGCAGUGAAAUGCGUAGAGAUGCGGAGGAACACCGAUGGCGAAGGCAGCCCCCUGGGCUGACACUGACGCUCAGGCACGAAGCGUGGGAGCAAACAGGA
rnacentral:rRNA from 1 species